AGAAUCGUUUUCAUUGUAUCCAUUUUCUGCUCCUACAUCGUUACUUAAGGGUUUGCUAUAGGAGUCAAUGGCGCUGCUCGCAUUGGAGCUAUUGCAGAGGAAAACAGCAGGCAACUUACAGCCUCCACGAAAAUGAAAUAAACACAGGUGAACCAACAUUCCACGAGGACAAUAUAAAUUGAAAGCAACUUUAAUGCACCAAGACGUAUUUAGCCUCAAAUAUCAUAAGAUUGCCAAAUGAGCAUGGAAUGAGUAAGUCUGUUGAGAAAUGGAUUCUGAGAAGUUUUGGAACAGCAAGCAUCAUGAUAACGUUCGACCACAGUCUCCUUUUGCUUUACUACAAAAGACCCCUGCUUGACGGAUUCCCUUUAUUUUCUUCUUUAUUAGUAGGCAUACCAUCUCAUUCUGUGUAUAUCCAUUUGUAUCUGAAUUAGUGUUCGUGUGUGAAUAUUAUGCAGGUUCAAUUUGUAAGAAAACUAUGUUUGUUUUAAAAAUAUUUACAAAAAUAUUUGUAUGAAUAUUG